UUCAACUCGACCAAAUCCUCUGUGAAAUCAGAUAAAAUGACUUUGGGAAAGUUAUUUAACCUCUUCCGACCGCCAGUCCUUCGUCUAUAAAAUAGCGAAACAAUGACUUCGUGGGAUCGCUUAGGAGGACUAAAGGAAAUCAUAGAUGAAACGUCCUCACCACGGGGUUCGUCUAAGGUCAAUUGCUGACUGAGUGGGCUUCACGAAUGAACGUCUCCUCCUCGGGGGAGAGGGCUCCCUGCACCCCCAGCUGCCUGCCCAGGACAGGGGGUGCAUCUACCUCUACAGCUCUGGCCAUCCGCCUGCAGGGUCCCCGUGACACAGCUGCACAAGGGCCCAUCGACCCGGCUGGUGCAAAUCUGCUCACACCCUCCGUUGUGCUCACACCAGUCCAGCCCUGAAAAAGAGCAGCUCGUCAGAACAAGGGCAGGCAGGUCAAAUCUUCGACGCCGCUCUCGGGGCAGCGCUUUAAAACAGAGGACAGCAAGAAGAAAAGCCCAGCGCCGCUGUGGUGUUUUCAGAGUCAAGGAGUACUUUUCGGAAUCACACAGUGACACCGCGCAAUGAAGAUGAACUUCAUCGUAAUCCCCAAUGAACUUGAAGACAGUGACGUGAAAGCGACAGGUUAGGGAGACGCCGUUCUCCUCGAUGCCAAUGGUGUUAUCUUUAAUGUUCUGACACCUAUUCAGGAGAAAAUGGAAUCUUUGCUUCACACAUUGGCUUCUAUUUCAUCUAAAGCCGUCAUGAUAGGUGCACGAAGAGGAGACAACAGCGACGGGCAUGGUGGGACUUCUGAGUCACUGGGAGAUGGUGGUAUCAUUGCUGCUCUCCACCGAGCUGACCCCCCACAAUUCUGAAGUGAACCCAUUUUGCUGCUCACACGUUCGUCACCGUGCAUCAGUUUUCCCACUGGACAAGUUCACUGGGAGCACAAUAACCACAGUCCUCCGAGAAAGGUCAGAAGGACUCAUGAAUUAAAAUUCCCCCAUAGGAUGAAAGCAAACAACAGUUUCAUCUGGAAGGCCUUUGUUCAGACCCGGGGGAGGCUGCGAUUUAUGAACACGCGCACUCACUCACUCACUCUCCUCUCUGGGUCAAGUCUAUCAAGCACUAUUUAAAAACUCCUAAAUGCCACUGCGUCCUCCAAAGGAGACACAGGCCCUCCAACCGGGCUGGUGUCUGUACAGGGGCUCAGAUCUGAGCUCUUUCACUUUAGGAAAGGACUUCGAUGGGAAGGAGAGGCAUCCAGGCUGCGAGCCACCGAGGAGUCACCACAUCCUUCCCUUUGCCUCUGAAAAGCCCAAGAACCAGCUCAGGAAGUCAAAAGCCUCCACACCCCGUGACACAAGUCCUGUCCAGCCGGUUAGGGAGGCUGUGUGUCAUGAUACUUGAAAGGGUUCCUCUCUGCCGCUGGCUAAUUGAGUCACCCUGGGUGAACUGUGUACCUAACUUCUCUGCAAAGCCAUGGAUAUUCAGUUUGCCCAGAACCAUACCUUCUUCUGAGAAACUAUUCCUUUUCAACCUUGAAGCUAAUUGUAGUAUCCACAGAGCUCCCUGACCACCUCAGGGUGGGUGUGUCGGUCCAGGCUAGUCAUGGGGGUCAGGACACGGUACCCCCCAAAAUCGGGCCCCUUGGCAUACUGAGUAUUUUAAGGUGAAGGAGUUUGAGAAAACAGCAGAGGCAGAAAGGUCACGGUGACCUUCCCCUGACUCCACUCUCCUGAAACAGGUCAAAAAGCCCUCAGGUGCCAGGGGCCCUCCCUCCUUCACAAAAGAAGCAUCCUUACCUCCAAAGACAGAGGGACAUCAGGAAGAAUCCUAACCAAGAGGCUCUGCUAAGCUUCCCCCAGUUUACUACACUUACCACAUACCCUUUGACCUCUCAUACUUCUCCAUGGUCCCUUCUUGGUCUAACCUAGCAGAAAGUUCUCAGGUUCGACCACUUCCUUUCUCCUCAUUUCCUUAUGGAGGCUUCUGUGUCACCUAAAACCCAUAUUAAAUAAAUGUGUAUGCUUUUCUCCUGUUAGUCUGUCUUUGUUUAAUUUUC